rnacentral:rRNA from 1 species
UACGUAGGCAGCGAGCGUUGUUCGGAGUUACUGGGCGUAAAGGGUGCGUAGGCGGUUUUCCAAGUUUGGUGUGAAAUCUCCCGGCUUAACUGGGAGGGUGCGCCGAAAACUAGGAGACUUGAGUACCGGAGAGGUAAGCGGAAUCCUGGUGUAGCGGUGAAAUGCGUAGAGAUCAGGAGGAACACCUGUGGUGUAGACAGCUUACUGGACGGUCACUGACGCUGAGGCACGAAAGCGUGGGUAGCAAACAGG